GUGUUUGUGAGUGAGUGUGUGGGGGCGGGGGGAGAAUUUCUUUACGUUCCCAAAGUUGAGCAAAAGAAAAUUGGUUAAUUAGAGGUUAUGGCUCCCUAAAUGCCAGUUAAGUAGGAUUCUACUGUAUUUUGUCCUCACAAACGACCUCUGAUUAUGUCAUACCCCGUGUUCUAAAACCUUCACGGAGAUAUAAUGAUGGGAUGUGGUCAGAGAAUGGAGUAUCAUUUACAAAGGGGAAAAUUGGGUCCAGAGAGCCAGCUGAUUAAGUAAAUGGUGCCUUAUUCUUACAGCACCACUAUAAAAAUGAGAUUGUGCAACAGUGACUCCCAGAGGCGGGCAGGGAGUCUCACAGGGCCGGGCGGGCGUCACGACCCCACUAUCUCCUGAUCACAGUGCUCUCUGGAUGUCAAGGUUCGAGUGCAACAGGACCUGUAAUGUACACUAAUGAAAAGAGAAGAAACUAAAAUCCCUUAGCAGGUUAUCUGAGGCUCUCCACCGUCUGAUGGAAGACGUCUUCUAGAUUUCUCUUGAACCCUUGGUUUGUCAUUUGCUCACAAGUUCUGGCCUCGAAGGGUUACUCAUUGAUUCCUGCAUAUGCCCUGCCUUUUCUCAUUGACCCACUCUUCCAGGAGCUCGUUCCAGAAUUCCCGAAUUACACAUCACUGCUUCCUAUUAGAAUCCAACUGCUCAAAAUACAUAGAUGAUAAAUAUGUUACAGCAAAAAAACAGAUUCAAAACUAUAUACAGAGUAUGAUCUCAACUAGUUCAAGAAAAAAAUUCAAAGAAACAAUAGUCCCUCAGCAGGCACCAGAGUCGUCAAUUCCGGGUGCAGUGGCUGUCAUGCUGAGCCCACGGCUCGUAGGAGAGCUUCAUCCCCUCUCUGCCGGCCCAGGAUGCAGAUGGACCACCUUCUGGCACACAGAUUAUGUGUUCCCAGGAAACCCAAGCAAAACCCCUGACCGCUCCGGGGAUGGCAGAGACGGUCUGGACUCCCACGUGUGUGGCACUGACAAAGGGCUCACCCCGUUCCACCUACCUCAUGUGGCACAGAUCACAUGGCUCAGUCGUCACCUCCACAUGGGACAGGGAAGCCCCAGCCCAGCCAGAACACACGGCUCCACGAGAGGGGAAAGGGCAGCCUGGAUUCUGCUACAGCGGACAGAGCACCUGUGAUGCGGGGAGCGUCUUGGGCACCUCUUCAUUCCUGCUUGUGGAUUUUAAAUAGCUGCCCUUUUCAGUUAUUAUCAGACCUUCUCCCAGCCUUUGCAGCUGGAUGAAUCUCUUCCUUCCUCGCUUUCUUUCUCCCUC